GACGAACGCUGGCGGCGUGCCUAAUACAUGCAAGUCGAACGAACCGCGACUAGGUGCUUGCACUUGGUCAAGGUGAGUGGCGAACGGGUGAGUAACACGUGGGUAACCUACCUCAUAGUGGGGGAUAACAGUCGGAAACGACUGCUAAUACCGCAUAGGACAUAGGAUCACAUGAUUCUGUGAGGAAAGGUGGCGCAAGCUAUCGCUAAGAGAUGGACCCGCGGUGUAGUAGCUAGUUGGUAGGGUAAAGGCCUACCAAGGCGAGGAUGCAUAGCCGACCUGAGAGGGUGAUAGGCCACAUUGGAGCUGGGCCGCGGCCAAAGCUCCUACGGGAGGCAGCAGUAGGGAAUCUUCCGCAAUGGACGCAAGUCUGACGGAGCAACGCCGAGUGAGUGAAGAAGAUCUUCGGAUCGUAAAGCUCUGUUGUUAGAGAAGAACAGCGCAUGGAGUAACUGUUAUGCGUGUGACGGUAUCUAACCAGAAAGCAACGGCUAACUACGUG
rnacentral:rRNA from 1 species